GGUGUUUAGUUCCAGCUCGAAGGAGAGGUACAUGCGCACCAGAGACUUGUAUUUUUCAUAAUUGCUGUUGCGCAUGCGUGUCGCUAGGUCGCGGUCAUUAAAUUCAUUGAUGUUGGCGUAUUCCAUGUCCAUUGUUAUACGCAAGGGCGUAUACAGGGCGACAGCAGUAGCCAAAGCAACAAAACAACAGCACAGCACAAACGAAAAGGACUUCCGUAGAUUCGAAUCCCAGCACUCACACGCUCACUUUAACAAAUAUUACUUUUCUAAAAGUACAAUAUAGAAGCUGAAAUUAGUUAAUAAAUCUCCUAAAGAACUCGAAAUUACAAAUUUCGGACCAGCCGAUUGAGGCGCCAAACACAUGGCGCCAAAGCUGGCCGAUAAACCGGCUAUAUACUGUGGUAGGACCGAUCCCUUGGACAUGUUGUGUUCUGUUCUGUUCUCCGUGAUGCAAAAAAUGGAACUGAAACUGACACGCAGACCGUUAUUUGGCUUGACAAAUUGCCCUGCAUGAGAUAACCAAAGCGUCGACGCUGGCGUACAACUGGCACGCUGGCAGAGGGGGAAAUACUUGAAGUUGGAGAGAGUCGUAAAUCAGAUUCUACAGUUUCCCUUUAGAACGGCGGCGGAGGCAGAGGUGUGGAAAGCGCGCUUUAACGUAAGCAAAAGUCCCCAAAAAGCAAUCGGAAUCUGAAACAGCUAAUUAAAUGACUGCUGAUAUGCCACCGCCACCUCCACCCACCCCCAAUACACACACCCCGCCUAUUGUUAUAAGAACAAUCAAGUGCCUCUAUAACAAUCCGUUCGCUGCCAGUCGGCUAUCUGGAGCUACUGAUUAUACUUUUGCGCGGAACUUAGGCACUUUAUAUUUCAUCUUGCUACGCUACGAAAAUGGUAUUUAUUACACACAGAUUGAAUCAGUAUCGGAUCACCGCAAAAUUAUAUAUCUGCUAUA